AGAGGGUGAAACUCCCGUCCGCCUGGUAGAAUGAGUCUUUGUCAACGAGUCGAGUUGUUUGGGAUUGCAGCUCUAAUUUGGUGGUAAAUUCCAUCUAAAGCUAAAUAUUGGUGGGAGACCGAUAGCAUACAAGUACCGUGAGGGAAAGAUGCAAAGAACUUUGAAAAGAGAGUUAAAGAGCACCUGAAAUUGCUGAAACGGAAGCGAAGGAAACCAGUGUUUGUUGGUUCAUAUUUCCUUGGCCACUUGUGGUUUGGGCGCUGUGGGCUUGCGUGGGUUUGGGUUGGUUGAUCCCUUUGGAAGAGCGCAGUCAGAGUUGAUGUCU
rnacentral:rRNA from 1 species